rnacentral:rRNA from 1 species
UACGAAGGGGGGCUAGCGUUGCUCGGAAUUACUGGGCGUAAAGCGCACGUAGGCGGCUUUCUAAGUCGAACGUGAAAUCCCCCGGGCUCAACCCGGGAACUGCGUCCGAUACUGGAAGGCUUGAAUCCGGGAGAGGGAUGCGGAAUUCCAGGUGUAGCGGUGAAAUGCGUAGAUAUCUGGAGGAACACCGGUGGCGAAGGCGGCAUCCUGGACCGGCAUUGACGCUGAGGCGCGGAAAGCCAGGGGAGCAAAGCGGG